UGUUAUAGUUUAUUUGAUGUUCGUUUUACAUGGAUAACCGUGGUAAUUCUAGGGCUAAUACAUGCUCGAGGCGCGUUUUUCGCGUGGCGUUUAUUAGACUUUAACCAACCCCUUUGGGUAAUCGGUGAUUCAUAAUAAAUUAGCGAAUCGCAUGGCUU
rnacentral:rRNA from 1 species